AUUGAACGCUGGCGGCAUGCCUUACACAUGCAAGUCGAACGGCAGCACGGGAGCAAUCCUGGUGGCGAGUGGCGAACGGGUGCGGAACACGUACAGAACCUUCCUUCGAGCGGGGAAUAGCCCAGAGAAAUUUGGAUUAAUACCCCAUAGCAUAUUGAAGUGGCAUCACUUCAAUAUUAAAGAUUUAUCACUUGAAGAUGGCUGUGCGGCUGAUUAGGUAGUUGGCGGGGUAACGGCCCACCAAGCCUGCGAUCAGUAACUGGUGUGAGAGCACGACCAGUCACACGGGCACUGAGACACGGGCCCG
rnacentral:rRNA from 1 species